rnacentral:rRNA from 1 species
UACGUAGGGUGCAAGCGUUAUCCGGAAUUAUUGGGCGUAAAGAGCUCGUAGGCGGUUUGUCGCGUCUGUCGUGAAAGUCCGGGGCUCAACUCCGGAUCUGCGGUGGGUACGGGCAGACUAGAGUGAUGUAGGGGAGACUGGAAUUCCUGGUGUAGCGGUGGAAUGCGCAGAUAUCAGGAGGAACACCGAUGGCGAAGGCAGGUCUCUGGGCAUUAACUGACGCUGAGGAGCGAAAGCAUGGGGAGCGAACAGG